AUACGUAGGGGGCGAGCGUUGUCCGGAAUGACUGGGCGUAAAGGGCGUGUAGGCGGCCGAUUAAGUCUGGAGUGAAAGUCCUGCUUUCAAGGUGGGAAUUGCUUUGGAGACUGGUUGGCUUGAGUGCGGAAGAGGUAAGUGGAAUUCCCAGUGUAGCGGUGAAAUGCGUAGAGAUUGGGAGGAACACCAGUGGCGGAGGCGACUUCCUGGGCCGUAGCGGACGCGGAGGCGCGAAAGCGUGGGGAGCGACCAGGAUUAAAUCCCCGGUUAGUCCACGCCGUAAACGAUGAAUACUAGGUGUAGGGGGUAUCGACUCCCUCUGUGCCGCAGGUAACACAAUAAGUAUUCCGCCUGGGGAGUACGGCCGCAAGGUUGAAACUCAAAGGAAUUGACGGGG
rnacentral:rRNA from 1 species